rnacentral:rRNA from 1 species
GACGAACGCUGGCGGCGUGCCUAAUACAUGCAAGUCGAGCGAAGUUUUUCUGGUGCUUGCACUAGAAAAACUUAGCGGCGAACGGGUGAGUAACACGUAAAGAACCUGCCUCAUAGACUGGGACAACUAUUGGAAACGAUAGCUAAUACCGGAUAACAGUAUUUCUCGCAUGAGAGAUAUUUAAAAGUUGGUUAUGCUAACACUAUGAGAUGGCUUUGCGGUGCAUUAGCUAGUUGGUGGGGUAAAGGCCCACCAAGGCGACGAUGCAUAGCCGACCUGAGAGGGUGAGCGGCCACACGGGGACUGAGACACGGCCCAGACUCCUACGGGAGGCAGCAGUAGGGAAUCUUCCGCAAUGGGCGAAAGCCUGACGGAGCAACGCCGCGUGAGUGAAGAAGGAUUUCGGUUCGUAAAGCUCUGUUGUUAGGGAAGAAUGGAUAUGUAGUAACUAUACAUGUAAGAGACGGUACCUAACCAGAAAGCCACGGCUAACUACGUG